rnacentral:misc_RNA from 1 species
GGUUUUGGCUUCGUUUGAGCUGGGCCCGCUAGGUUUCAGUUUCGGUAAUGAUGGUUCUAGACAUUGCUCCAAUGUCUUUCCUCAAAUGGGUAUUCUUUGGUUGCUUGCUUUGUUCAUCUUUUGCUCUCGAAACCUCAUCCCAUUCCUGUGACCCAAGUGAUUAUCCAUCACUGAAGGAAUUUGCUGAAAAUGGAGGAUCCAAGUUUGGGUCUUUGGGUUCUAUGGGUGUGGGUGUAAACAAGCACCAUGCUGUGGCCCUUCAAAUGGAUUCUCCAAGGUUUCCUCACCGCCAACCACUAGCCAUUUUUGGGAUUUUUGUUUUAAUUCUUAGUGAACUAUUUUAGUUAAUUUUCUGUUGAAAUUAUUCUUUAUUGCAUUGUUAAUGUUCUUCUGCUUCUGGACUUUGAUGAAUUGUAGGAGAUUUUUUCUCUUUUUUUAAAUUCUGUUUUUUAUUUUAAAAUUUAAUCAUUUUGUGGGUCCCACAUAACCUGACUUCUC